UUGUGCCUCCCCUCCGUGAUCGGCUGAGCGUCAUAUCCAUACCCGGGAAGGCUGUCAAAGUUUUUGAGAACCUUCUAAAGCGUGAUGGGUUCAAGGUGAAGCAUUGUCGUGGUGGCGUCGCAUCAAGAAAUGUGGUGUUGAAGAGUUUGGUUUGGUGCUUGGCGGAGUCAUUGAGCAGUGAUGAGUGUCGGAGGCUCCACUGGAAGAAGGAGAUGUAGGGAGUGUUGC
rnacentral:lncRNA from 1 species